UGAGCUUUGGGAAAUCAUUUAGGGACUGGAAUGUAGCUCAGUUAGUGGGGUGCUUGCAUGAGUUCAAUCUCUAGAACUACAUAAAACAGAAUGGGACCUCAGCCAUGGGAUCUCGCCACAUUCGGGUGUGUGUCCCUCCUUCAGUCAAACCUCUGAGAGUGUCUUCACAGCACUGCUACAAGUAGGUUUCCUGGAUAUCAAGUCUCCGAGCCCAAACCAAGAGUGUUCAGCGGGGCAGAGGUGGAAAACAAAGUUCUAUGAGAAGCCCAUAGGUUUUGUGACGAACCAGCCUUGCUUCUGCCCGUGAAGCCCACAUCCGUGCCUUUUACUCAUGGAAACCACGUAACUAUUUCUGAUUCAAAGAACACUGGACACCUGUGAUGCAGGGCCCUAUCUUCUCAGAGGGUCAUUCCCAUAUCAAGCUGGAUCUUCAGUAGGUCAUCACCUCUUCCCAGUGGCUUCUGGCAGGAGUGUGUGCUAGUACUCAUUAAUCCAUGGGUGUGAGCCCAUUGUUGAUUGCUCCUCCUUUGGAAUAACUCUCUUGUUCAGAAGUGAUAUCUAGAAGACAUCAAAUUUUGUAACCACAGAUGGUGAUGCUGGCAGAUGGUUUCUAGGCAGGGAAGCAAUUGUGUAGUCAGAAUACAUGCCUACUACAGUUUAAA